rnacentral:rRNA from 1 species
UUGGGUUUAAAGGGAGCGUAGGCCGGAGGGUAAGCGUGUUGUGAAAUGCAGUUGCUCAACAUCUGCACUGCAGCGCGAACUGUUCUCCUUGAGUGCGCAGGAAGUAGGCGGAAUUCGUCGUGUAGCGGUGAAAUGCUUAGAUAUGACGAAGAACUCCGAUUGGGAAGCCAGCUUACUGUAGCGCCACUGACGCUGAUGCUCGAAAGUGCGGGUAUCGAACAGGAUUAGAUACCCUGGUAGUCCGCACGGUAAACGAUGGAUGCUCGCUGUGUGCAUUCGUGUACGCGGCCAAGGGAAACCAUUAAGCAUCCCACCUGGGGAGUACGCCGGCAACGGUGAAACUCAAAGGAAUUGACGGGGGCCCGCACGAGCGGAGGAACAUGUGGUUUAAUUCGAUGAUACGCGAGGAACCUUACCCGGGCUUGAAUUGCAGAGGAAGGAUUUAGAGAUAAUGACGCCCUUCGGGGUCUCUGUGAAGGUGCUGCAUGGUUGUCGUCAGCUCGUGCCGUGAGGUGUCGGCUUAAGUGCCAUAACGAGCGCAACCCCUUUCAUUAGUUGCCAUCAGGUAAGGCUGGGCACUCUGGUGAUACUGCCACCGUAAGGUGUGAGGAAGGUGGGGAUGACGUCAAAUCAUCAUGCCCCUUAUGAGCAGGGCUACACACGUGCUACAAUGGCGUAAACAGAGGGAAGCGAAGGAGUGAUCUGGAGCAAAUCUCAAAAAUAACGUCUCAGUUCGGAUUGUAGUCUGCAACUCGACUACAUGAAGCUGGAAUCGCUAGUAAUC